CCUAAUACUGCAAGUCGAGCGGAAGAUGGGAGCUUGCUCCCUGAUGUUAGCGGCGGACGGGUGAGUAACACGUGGGUAACCUGCCUGUAAGACUGGGAUAACUCCGGGAAACCGGGGCUAAUACCGGAUGGUUGUUUGAACCGCAUGGUUCAAACAUAAAAGGUGGCUUCGGCUACCACUUACAGAUGGACCCGCGGCGCAUUAGCUAGUUGGUGAGGUAACGGCUCACCAAGGCGACGAUGCGUAGCCGACCUGAGAGGGUGAUCGGCCACACUGGGACUGAGGCACGGCCCAGACUCCUACGGGAGGCAGCAGUAGGGAAUCUUCCGCAAUGGACGAAAGUCUGACGGAGCAACGCCGCGUGAGUGAUGAAGGUUUUCGGAUCGUAAAGCUCUGUUGUUAGGGAAGAACAAGUACCGUUCGAAUAGGGCGGUACCUUGACGGUACCUAACCAGAAAGCCACGGCUAACUACGUGCCAGCAGCCGCGGUAAUACGUAGGUGGCAAGCGUUGUCCGGAAUUAUUGGGCGUAAAGGGCUCGCAGGCGGUUUCUUAAGUCUGAUGUGAAAGCCCCCGGCUCAACCGGGGAGGGUCAUUGGAAACUGGGGAACUUGAGUGCAGAAGAGGAGAGUGGAAUUCCACGUGUAGCGGUGAAAUGCGUAGAGAUGUGGAGGAACACCAGUGGCGAAGGCGACUCUCUGGUCUGUAACUGACGCUGAGGAGCGAAAGCGUGGGGAGCGAACAGGAUUAGAUACCCUGGUAGUCCACGCCGUAAACGAUGAGUGCUAAGUGUUAGGGGGUUUCCGCCCCUUAGUGCUGCAGCUAACGCAUUAAGCACUCCGCCUGGGGAGUACGGUCGCAAGACUGAAACUCAAAGGAAUUGACGGGGGCCCGCACAAGCGGUGGAGCAUGUGGUUUAAUUCGAAGCAACGCGAAGAACCUUACCAGGUCUUGACAUCCUCUGACAAUCCUAGAGAUAGGACGUCCCCUUCGGGGGCAGAGUGACAGGUGGUGCAUGGUUGUCGUCAGCUCGUGUCGUGAGAUGUUGGGUUAAGUCCCGCAACGAGCGCAACCCUUGAUCUUAGUUGCCAGCAUUCAGUUGGGCACUCUAAGGUGACUGCCGGUGACAAACCGGAGGAAGGUGGGGAUGACGUCAAAUCAUCAUGCCCCUUAUGACCUGGGCUACACACGUGCUACAAUGGACAGAACAAAGGGCAGCGAAACCGCGAGGUUAAGCCAAUCCCACAAAUCUGUUCUCAGUUCGGAUCGCAGCCUGCAACUCGACUGCGUGAAGCUGGAAUCGCUAGUAAUCGCGGAUCAGCAUGCCGCGGUGAAUACGUUCCCGGGCCUUGUACACACCGCCCGUCACACCACGAGAGUUUGUAACNCCCGAAGUCGGUGAGGUAGCCUUUUAGGAGCCAGCCGCCGAAGGUGGGACAGAUGAUUGGGGGAAGUCGAACAAGG
rnacentral:rRNA from 1 species